AUGCGGGGGCGGGGCCGCGGCGACGCUGGGUGUGUGGACGCAGAUGGCGGCGGCGCAGGGCGCCUGAGCGGGCCGGGGCCAUGAGCGCCGCCCGGCCCCAGUUCAGCAUUGAUGAUGCCUUCGAGCUGUCCCUGGAGGACGGGGGCCCUGGGCCCGAGUCCAGCGGGGUCGCGCGCUUUGGGCCGCUGCACUUCGAGCGUCGGGCCCGGUUCGAGGUGGCUGACGAGGACAAGCAGUCCCGGCUGCGCUACCAGAACCUGGAGAACGAUGAGGAUGGAGCCCAGGCCUCUCCGGAGCCGGAUGGGGGAGUCGGCACCAGGUUAGGGCCAGGUGGGGACCCAACCCUGUACCCCAGCCCCAGCUCCUAUCCCCAGGGACCCUGCUCACUCACCCCACUUCACUCACUCUCUUCCAUCCCGUCCUAUUGAUUCCUAGCCUGACCCUCACUUUCCUCACAGGGUCCCCUACACUGUAGGGUCACCCUACCCUAGUGCCCAGCUGUACUCACCUCUUUCAGAAACCCCUAGUCUGGUCUGGCCCCCACCUUCAUACAGGUCACCUGUCCUACAGAAUCCCCUA
rnacentral:sRNA from 1 species